GACGAACCGAGCGAACGUUAUUCGGAAUCACUGGGCUUAAAGGGCGCGUAGGCGGGCGGUCAAGUCAGGGGUGAAAGCCCCCAGCUCAACUGGGGAAGUGCCUUUGAUACUGGUCGUCUCGAGGGGGAUAGGGGCGUGCGGAACUUCCGGUGGAGCGGUGAAAUGCGUAGAUAUCGGAAGGAACACCGGUGGCGAAAGCGGCGCGCUGGAUCCCUUCUCGACGCUGAGGCGCGAAAGCCAGGGGAGCGGAACGGG
rnacentral:rRNA from 1 species